UCAUGGGGAAUUUUCCGCAAUGGGCGAAAGCCUGACGGAGCAAUACCGCGUGAGGGAGGAAGGCUCUUGGGUCGUAAACCUCUUUUCUCAGGGAAGAACACAAUGACGGUACCUGAGGAAUCAGCAUCGGCUAACUCCGUGCCAGCAGCCGCGGUAAUACGGAGGAUGCAAGCGUUAUCCGGAAUCAUUGGGCGUAAAGCGUCCGCAGGUGGCUUUUCAAGUCUGCUGUCAAAGCCCGGGGCUCAACCCUGGAGAGGCAGUGGAAACUGAGGAGCUGGAGUGCGGUAGGGGCAGA
rnacentral:rRNA from 1 species